rnacentral:rRNA from 1 species
GACGUUACUUGACGAAUAAACAUCGGCUAACUCCGUGCCAGCAGCCGCGGUAAUACCGAGGAUGCAAGUGUUAUCCGGAUUCCCUGGGCGUAAAGCGUCUGUAGGUGGCUUAAAAAGUCUGCUGUUAAAAAUUGAAGCUUAACUUCAAGAAUGCCGUGGAAACUUUUAUGCUUGAGCAUGAUAGGGGUAAAGGGAAUUUCCAGUGGAGCGGUGAAAUGCGUAGAUAUUGGAAAGACCACCAAUGGCGAAGGCACUUUACUGGGUCAUUGCUGACACUGAAAGACGAAAGCUAACGGAGCGAAUGGGAUUAGAUACCCCAGUAGUCUUAGCCGUAAACGAUGGAUACUAGAUGUUGCGUGUAUCAACCCAUGCAGUAUCGUAGCUAACGCGUUAAGUAUCCCGCCUGGGAAGUAUGCUCGCAAGAGUGAAACUC